CAACUUACCAUUCCGAAGAGGUUCUUAGUCUCGCUAACUCCUCCGAAGAUUGGGGAAAGAGGUCCUGGAGGCGAGGUUACCAUUGCAAUAAAUAUCGUGGACCCAAAGAGUUUUGCAGAAAAGUGAUUUAUUAGAGAGAGAAGAAAGACAGCUCCUACGCUAUCAUUCCAGGAGACCUAGAGAAGGUAAGGAGCAGCUGAAUUUUAACCCUUGAGUUAUUCCUGCCCUUUCAUGUUCUUGUCCAAUGAGAGGAGUUCUUUCAACUGCCUCUGGAGUGAUUGAUCUUUGACUCUGACAUUGGAUUGGCUACUUGGUCCACGACUGAGAGUUACAGAGCCCCCUCCUCCCGGAGCUUUCCACGGGUUUCUUGGGACAAUAGAGCCCACCUGGCUUUCCCCAGCUAGCGGGCAAGUGGAGAAACCCAGACAAAGAACUUUACAUUUGAAACCCCUCUGCUUCCUAGAUGAAGACGUGGAGGCUGGGAAACUCCUGCCUUUGAAACCAAGCCUCUUGGACCCAGGAAGAGUCUGGUUCCCGGAUGGAGGCAUGGAGCCAUGGAGAAGUCCCUGUAGGUACAGUAGACCCUUGAACAACAUGGGUUUGAACAUCGUGGGUUCGAUUAUAGUCAGAUUUUCCUCUGCCUCAGCUACCCCUGAGACAAUAAGACCAAUCCCUCCUCUUCUUCCUCCUCGGUUUCUUCAACAUGAAGAUGACAAAGAUGAAGACCUUUAUGAUGAUUCGUUACCACUUAAUGAACGAAAUUAACAAGUUGAUCCUCAAGAAAAUGUGAAGUAACAAGAGACUCCAAAAAAUCAAAACAAUAUUGAUAAAGAACAAAGAGAACAUACAUAUCCUGAUUUCAAAACGUACUGUAAGACUUCUGUAAUAAAGUCAGUGUGGUACUGGCA
rnacentral:lncRNA from 13 species